AAUAGAUACCCUGGUAGUCCACGCCGUAAACGAUGAGUGCUAAGUGUUAGAGGGUUUCCACCCUUUAGUGCUGCAGCUAACGCAUUAAGCACUCCGCCUGGGGAGUACGGCCGCAAGGCUGAAACUCAAAGGAAUUGACGGGGGCCCGCACAAGCGGUGGAGCAUGUGGUUUAAUUCGAAGCAACGCGAAGAACCUUAUCAGGUCUUGACAUCCUCUGCCAACCCUAGAGAUAGGGCGUUCCCCUUCGGGGGACAGAGUGACAGGUGGUGCAUGGUUGUCGUCAGCUCGUGUCGUGAGAUGUUGGGUUAAGUCCCGCAACGAGCGCAACCCUUGAUCUUAGUUGCCAGCAUUCAGUUGGGCACUCUAAGGUGACUGCCGGUGACAAACCGGAGAAGGUGGGGAUGACGUCAAAUCAUCAUGCCCCUUAUGACCUGGGCUACACACGUGCUACAAUGGAUGGUACAAAGAGCUGCGAACCCGCGAGGGUAAGCGAAUCUCAUAAAGCCAUUCUCAGUUCGGAUUGGU
rnacentral:rRNA from 1 species